rnacentral:tRNA from 1 species
ACUUGUUAAGUAUAUAUUUUGAAAAUAUAAAAAAGAAACUUUAAUUUUCUAUUAACUU